CGGGGAAUUUUGGACAAUGGGGGAAACCCUGAUCCAGCCAUCCCGCGUGUGCGAUGAAGGCCUUCGGGUUGUAAAGCACUUUUGGCAGGAAAGAAACGUCGCGGGUUAAUACCCCGCGAAACUGACGGUACCUGCAGAAUAAGCACCGGCUAACUACGUGCCAGCAGCCGCGGUAAUACGUAGGGUGCAAGCGUUAAUCGGAAUUACUGGGCGUAAAGCGUGCGCAGGCGGUUCGGAAAGAAAGAUGUGAAAUCCCAGAGCUUAACUUUGGAACUGCAUUUUUAACUACCGGGCUAGAGUGUGUCAGAGGGAGGUGGAAUUCCGCGUGUAGCAGUGAAAUGCGUAGAUAUGCGGAGGAACACCGAUGGCGAAGGCAGCCUCCUGGGAUAACACUGACGCUCAUGCACGAAAAGCGUGGGGAGCAAAACAGGAUUAGAUACCCUGGUAGUCCACGCCCUAAAACGAUGUCAACUAGCUGUUGGGGGCCUUCGGGCCUUGGUAGCGCAGCUAACGCGUGAAGUUGACCGCCUGGGGAGUACGGUC
rnacentral:rRNA from 1 species